UCCUACUUAAUCUUCUUGGCCUUGCCUAA
rnacentral:piRNA from 1 species